CCUGUGGUUGAUGAUGCAAGCUUUUUUCCCCAUCUUAUCGACCAUGGUGAAAUAACCUGAAAACUAAGCCAGUUGGGUCUGAAACCACAUG
ensembl:snoRNA small nucleolar SNORD12/SNORD106